AUGGAGGAGGAAGUGGCGGAGGAGUAGCAGCGAUUUUCUUACCAACAGAGACUAAAGGCAGCCGUUCACUAUACUGUUGGUUGUCUGUGUGAGGAAGUUGCAGUGGACAAAGAGAUGCAGUUCAGCAAACAGACCAUUGCAGCAAUUUUGGAGAUGACCUUUCGACAAUAUGAAAAUUUUGCCAAAGACCUUGAAAUGUUUGCAAGACAUGCGAAAAGAACCACAAUUAACACUGAAGAUGUGAAGCUGUUAGCCAGGAGUAGUAAUUCGCUGGUAAAAUACAUUGCUGAGAAAAGUGAAGAGAUUGCUCAGAUUAACCUAGAACGAAAGGCAAAGAAGAAAAAGAAAUUAGAGGAUGAAAACAAAAAUUUAAAUGAGCCAGCAGAGCCUGGAGCAGAGGAAAGUGAGAAUUAAACUCUCUCAACACAUGGAAAAUGCAGUUUUAGCAGGUAGAGUCACCUAGAAGUACGUAUUGUCACAAAAAGAAUUUUGAAGGGAUAAGUAGAAAUUAAAAAAUAAAAGUCCAGGCAGCUUUUUUGUCCUGUCUUCUCUAAGUCAUUAACUGCUAAAUCUAGUUUAAAAGUGAACUGGAAAUUCUUAAGCAAAAUACUCCCAAGCCCAUACAAAAGUCAUGUGUUUGGAGGAUAUGUGCUGGAAAUUUUGUCUUUGCAAUUAAAAAAAAAUUGUGCUAAAAAAAAACCCAAAGGCCCUCCUACAAACUAUAGUCCUUACAUGAUCUGGCCCCCCAGCUGGCCCUGUCCUCAUCACCUUGUAUUCCUCCCCUUCACUUCCAUUUAGUCACAUUGGCCUUGUUUUUCUUCAAACAGGCCAGACACACUCAGGGCCUUCGUACUGACUAUUCCUUCUGCCUGGACUGUUCCUCCUCCAAAUAUCCUUAUGUCUCAUUUCCUUAAUUCUUUGAGGUCUCUAACCAAAAAGCACCUUCCCACAGAGGUCUUCCCUGAUUACCCUUUGUAAAAUUUUUAUUUCUGCCCAGACACCUGUUAUACUCCUCCUCCUUCCUUUUGUUUUUAGGUUUCUUGUCACCUAACAUAGCCUAUGUUUUACUAAUUUGUUGUGUUUAUUAUCUAUCUUUACUUUAGGAACACAGUCCAUAAGAGUCUAGAUUUAUAUGUUUAU